UACAGCAGCUCCGGCUCCGCAAGCUGAAGGGCUCUUCCCUUCUUCUUCCCCUUUCCCCUAUCGGCGGCUGUGGCGGAUUCGCUUCGCCCACGACGAGCGGACGUUGCCGCCGCCGCUGCGGCAGAGCGCCCCCCAGCAGCAACCGAAGCGGUCCGUGCCGACGUCCGACCAGGACCACCCGCUGCUCCCGCGGGACCGGCGCUGCCGCCUCCUCCGCGCCGGGUUCCCCGCCGCCGGUAGCACCACCAACCCGACCUGAACCGCCGGACGCUGCUCCGUCGGCAGCCGCGGCGCCACCUGCGCCGCACCGCGACGAAGCCCCUGCCGUCCGAGGUACGGGAACAGUUGACGACGAGGAAGCUCCCCCUUCACGUUCUAACGGAGUCGCACUGACUUCUACUCAUGUUGUUCUGGUACUUUCAGUUACAUUAGUGUGGAACCGAGGACUAUUUCCGCUAUCGCUUCGCCAAGGCCCUACGCGUCAGCCCGCCGAGGCACCAAACGAACUGGGUCUAGUAGCCGCGGCUCUCUCCUAACAUAGGCCCCCGACGCCGUAUGCCGUGUUCAAAUCCGCGGCAAGUGGUCGAGCAGUCUCACUACGGCGACGCCGCCACCGACCUGGGCCCGUUCCUGGAGCGAAGGUGCCACGACAUGGACCAGCCGCUGCUGAGGGCGAAGUACUGUCCGUGGUGGUAGAUACAGCUGCCGGUUGUCGCCAAACACCUGGUUCGGCAUAGUUACCGCAAGUCUCUCUUGCCUCGUUGGUUGAUGUAGGCGUAGGUCCCAUUGCCGUAGUGGCGGCCUCGCUGCUGCCUCCGCCGGUACCGCCUCGCCCCCCACCUCAGCCAGGACAAGGCCCCCUUCUUCGACUACGGCGUCUGGUUGCUGCUCGCCGACCUGCCGCACCACCUCGUCGACCACGGCUACGACGGCCAAGGUGUUGCGUUCUCGGGCACCGUUGCGCCGUUUGACUUCAACAAGCGGCCGCAGCGUGUCCCGCAGAAACCGCAGCGUCCUUUGGGAUGGAACCCCAACCGUGUCCCGUAGAGACCGCAGCAUCCUUUGGGGUGGCGCCCCGACCACGUCCCUCACCGGCUGGUAGGGUGGGACGACUUCGGCGUCCCGCAGAGACGGUUCAGGUACCAACCGCUCAGGUUCCGGCAGAGACAGGUCCGGAGGCACCAGCUCCGCUUGACGUGAUUGUAGCUACAGACGGGACUUGACAAACGUAGAUUUUCGAGAACACUGCUACCUUUCAGAUGGAGGUUCCCUGGUUUUUUCUUUUAGCCAGGAUUUUCUAGAAGCGGACUGUGUACAUGAGUGCUACUGUCACUUCAUAUAGUUCGACCACGAUUUUCUUCCUGAGAAUUGGGGAGAUAAGGAGUAUUCCUCUCGAACCUCAGACUUCUAAAAAGACGUUUCAUC
rnacentral:rRNA from 1 species